UACAGAGGGGGCAAGCGUUGUUCGGAAUUACUGGGCGUAAAGGGCGCGUAGGCGGCCUUCUAAGUCGGACGUGAAAUCCCCGGGCUCAACCCAGAGCCUGCAUCCGAAACUGGUGGGCUAGGGUGCUGGAGGGGAUAGCGGAAUUCCUGGUGUAGCGGUGAAAUGCGUAGAUAUCAGGAGGAACACCGGUGGCGAAGGCGGCUAUCUGGACAGUAACCGACGCUGAGGCGCGAAAGCUAGGGGAGCAAACAGG
rnacentral:rRNA from 1 species